rnacentral:misc_RNA from 1 species
GUGGGAGCCAGCCUGCUGGCGAUAGCGGUUUAUCAGUCGCCAUUCAGGGUGACUGAUGCAUUGCAAUCGCCAGCAGGCUGGCUCCCAC